AGAGUUUGAUCCUGGCUCAGGAUGAACGCUGGCGGCGUGCCUAACACAUGCAAGUCGAACGGAGCCUUAACCAAAGAAGCAGCCUGCUUGCUGGAAGCGGAAAAGGGAAAGGCUUAGUGGCGGACGGGUAAGUAACGCGUGGGUAACCUGCCCCAUACGGGGGGAUAACACUUAAAAAUAGGUGCUAAUACCGCAUAACAACAGAAAGCGCAUGUUUUUUGUUUGAAAACCAAGGUGGUAUGGGAUGGACCCGCGUCUGAUUAGCUGGUUGGCGGGGUAAAGGCCCACCAAGGCGACGAUCAGUAGCCGGCCUGAGAGGGUGGACGGCCACAUUGGGACUGAGACACGGCCCACACUCCUGCGGGAGGCAGCAGUGGGGAAUAUUGCACAAUGGGGGAAACCCUGAUGCAGCGACGCCGCGUGAGUGAAGAAGUAAUUCGUUAUGUAAAGCUCUAUCAGCAGGGAAGAAAAUGACGGUACCUGAGUAAGAAGCCCCGGCUAACUACGUGCCAGCAGCCGCGGUAAUACGUAGGGGGCAAGCGUUAUCCGGAUUUACUGGGUGUAAAGGGAGCGUAGACGGCAGUGCAAGUCUGGAGUGAAAGGGCGGGGGCUCAACCCCCCGGUCUGCUCUGGAAACUGUACGGCUGGAGUGCAGGAGAGGUAAGUGUAAUCUCCUAGUGUAGCGGUGAAAUGCGUAAUAUAUUAGGAGGAACACCAGUGGCGAGGGCGGCUUACUGCACCGUAACUGACGUUGAUGCUCGAAGCGUGGGGAGCAUACAGGAUUAGAUACGCUGAUAGUCCACGCCAUAAACGAUGAUCACGAGGUGGUCGGGGGGAU
rnacentral:rRNA from 1 species